rnacentral:lncRNA from 1 species
GGCAAGAGGCAAGUAAUCAUUUUCUUUUUUUUCUAGAAAUAUGCAUCACGGCUGAUUUAUGGUCCCACGGCGAUGGUGACCCCUAUCAUUAGGGAAGGCCAUACCGGCGGUUAUGUUGGGUUUAGGGCUGGUGGUGAUAGGGGUUUGAAGUAGACAUGGUUCCCCUAAAUGGAUCUUAUUUAAGCAGCAACUGCAAGGUGAACUAGCAGACAAUUUU